rnacentral:rRNA from 1 species
AGAGCUAAUGGAGGAUGCCUUGGCAUUGACAGCCGACGAAGGACGUGUAAAGCUGCGAAAAUCCACGGGGAACUGCUAAAAAGUCUUGAUCCGUGGGAAUCCGAAUGGGGAAACCCCUUAAAGUUAAAGCUUUAAGAUCCGCAAAUGAAUUAAUAGUUUGCGUGAGGGAAAGCCUGUGAACUGAAACAUCUUAGUAACAGGACGAGGAGAAAAUAAACUAAUGAUUCCGAGAGUAGCGGCGAGCGAAAUUGGAAGAGCCUAAACCUUUGGUACGUGAUAGCCUGUAAGUGUUGUAUCAAAGGGGUUGUGGGACUUAUAAGACAAGUUACAGCUUGUUGAAUCAGUUACAAAGUUAUUUAGUAGUUGAAUACAACUGGGAAGUUGAGCCAUAGAGUGUGAUAGCCACUUAAGCGAAACUAAAUAAUCUGAUAAUAAGCACCCGAGUAAGGCGGGGCACGUGAAACCCUGUCUGAAUCUACCGGGACCAUCCGGUAAGGCUAAAUACUAGUCAGUGACCGAUAGUGAACGAGUACAGUGAUGGAAAGGCGAAAAGAACAGUGAGAAGCUGAGUGAAAUAGACCCUAAAACCGUUAGCUUACAAUCAGUUAGAGCCCUAUUGAUAGGGUGAUAGCGUGCCUGUUGAAGAAUGAGCCGGCGAGUUAAUUUAUGUUGCGAGGUUAAGGAGUUGAUAUCUGGAGCCAUAGCGAAAGCGAGUUUGAAAAGAGCGUUAAGUAACAUGAAUUAGACCCGAACCUUGGCGAUCUAACCUUGACCAGGAUGAAGCGUGGGUAACACUACGUGGAGGUCCGAACCAACCGAUGUUGAAAAAUCGGUGGAUGAGUUGAGGUUAGGGGUGAAAUGCCAAUCGAGCCAAGAGCUAGCUGGUUCUCCCCGAAAUGCGUUUAGGCACAGCGUUGGACUUAUCUUACCGGAGGUAGAGCACUAGUCUGAUGCGGGCGGCGAAAUGCCGUACCAAAUCAUGUUAAACUCCGAAUACCGGUAAAGUUACUAUCCAGCAGUGAGGCAGCGAGUGCUAAGAUCCGUUGCCAAGAGGGAAACAGCCCAGAACGCCAGUUAAGGUCCCAAAUAUAUGCUAAGUGGUUAAGGAGGUAGAGUUGCUUAGACAACCAGGAGGUUGGCUUAGAAGCAGCCAUUCCUUGAAAGAGUGCGUAAUAGCUCACUGGUCAAGCGACUCCGCGCCGAAAAUACACCGGGACUAAAGCAUAUAACCGAAACUGCGUCAUUAAGUUUACUUAAUGGGUAGGGGAGCGUACUGUAGUAGGACGAAGUAAGAUCGAAAGGACUUAUGGACGAGGCAGUAGUGAGAAUGUCGGCAUAAGUAGCGAAAACAUUGGUGAGAAUCCAAUGCACCGAAAACCUAAGGUUUCCCACGGCAGGCUCGUCCGCGUGGGGUUAGUCGGAUCCUAAGCUGAGGCCGAAAGGCGUAGGCGAUGGGCAUCAGGUUGAUAUUCCUGAACUAUCGAUUAAUCGUUAUUAGAGGCGGAGGGACGCAGGAGGAUAGACAAGCAGCCGACUGGAAGUGGCUGUAAAGAUAUGUAGGUAGAAUGGGUAGGAAAAUCCGCUCAUUCGUUAUAAACUGAGGUAUCGAGUAGGACUCUCUACGGAGGGGAAGUUGUUGAAUCCACACUGCCAAGAAAAGCUUCGCACUUGAGAUUAAUAGGUAUCCGUACCGGAAACCGCCACAGGUAGGUUGGUAGAGAAUACUAAGGUGCGCGAGAUAACUCUCGCUAAGGAACUCGGCAAAAUCACCUCGUAACUUCGGGAGAAGAGGUACCCUGGUAGAGUGAAGCGGUUCACCCGUGGAGCUUGAUAGGGUCGCAGUGAAUAGGCCCAUGCGACUGUUUACCAAAAACACAGGUCUCUGCAAAGUCGAUCAAGACGAUGUAUAGGGGCUGACGCCUGCCCGGUGUCGGAAGGUUACGUGGAAGUGUUAGAAGCAAUUCGAAGCACCGAAACUAAGCCCCGAUGAACGGCGGCCGUAACUAUAACGGUCCUAAGGUAGCGAAAUUCCUUGUCAGGUAAGUUCUGACCCGCACGAAUGGCGUAACGAUUUGGGCACUGUCUCAACAGCCCACCCGGCGAAAUUGUAGUACCGGUGAAGAUGCCGGUUACCCGCGACAAGACGGAAAGACCCCAUGGAGCUUUACUGUAGCCUAAUAUUGGGUUUCGAUGUUGCAUGCACAGGAUAGAUGGGACACUGGGAAACAAUCGCUUUGGCGGUUGCGGAGUGGCCGUUGGGAUACCAUCCUUGCGAUAUUGGAAUUCUAACCUGCGGCUCUGAAUCGAGUCGGGGGACAUUGUUAGGUGGGCAGUUUGACUGGGGCGGUCGCCUCCUAAAAAGUAACGGAGGCGUUCAAAGGUU